rnacentral:tRNA from 1 species
GCUUACAUUAGCUCAGUGGUUAGAGCACUGGUCUUGUAAACCAUGGAUUGUGAGUUCAGUCCCCACUGAGGACU